UCCUCCUCCUCUCUCUAUCUUUCUAAUUCUCUUUUGCAACAAACAAUUAAAGAAGUCCCCAGAUUCUUCGUCGUCGUCUCCCAUCUCACCACGGGAUCGACGAAUCAAUUCUACCGAGGGAUCCAUGGCGUUGACGUCACCGCUGCUCGCCGACGGUCGCUGCUGUGCAGUCGCCGUCGCUUGCCGACGGGAGAUGCUGCUGUCGCGCAUCCAGAUCGGUCGUCGUCCUUUUCGCCGGUUCGCCGCCGACGUCGCUUGACGUCGCCGCUUCUGUCAUGACGGUGCUGCUGUAGCUUCGCCAGCCGCUGCGGUCCUCCUCAUGUCCACCGCCGGGUCAGGCCGCGGUAGAAGACGCAGUGCCAUCGCCGUCAGACGCCGCUGUUCCGCCCCGAAACAUCACCGCAGACCCCGAAACGUUCCGGAACUAACCCGAACAACCCCGAUUACAACCGAACAGAUAAGUUCUUUUACAAAGCUAUGUCCUUUCAUUUUAAAUUUUCAAUUACUCUGUGAUGGGUGUUCAAUUGGUUAUGUUCGAUUGUUGGAGCUUGAUUGUUGACUGAAAUUAUGAGUGGGAGUGAUGUAUGAUGAACAUGAUAGGAAUAACAUCGAUCAAAAGGAAAGGGAUUUAUACCUUCGUUGCUAUAACUUUGACUGCGAAAUUGGCAGGUCCGUUUUCUUGGCUCGUAUGAGAAAACAAAAUGGCAGCAGAUUUCUCCCACUCUCUCAAUCUCGGCUCUCUUGGCUCUCCCUCUCUCUCACUGGUUUUUUUGCUUGAAAAAAUUUAUUGUGGAAGAUGGAGAGUGAAGAAGUUGAAAAAUGGAGAGUCUCAUGGUGGAGAGAAUCGGCCAAGAGGGGAGAAGGAAGAAGAAGAAAAAGACUUUGGGCUUGCACCCACAUUUUUGGAAAUGAAUUGGGCUCAAAAACAUUUCCCACAACUUUAAUUAAAUUUAUUUUGGGCUCAUUUAGUUACAAAGCCCAAAUUUGUAUAAUUAUUUAUUUGUUAGACUUUUUUUUAUUGUUAUGGCCCAAAACCAUUUUUUUCUUAUAAGAAUAUUGGACUCAAAUUUU